UACGUAGGGGGCAAGCGUUGUCCGGAAUCAUUGGGCGUAAAGGGCGUGUAGGCGGCCAACUAAGUCCGACGUGAAAUCCCCAGGCUUAACCUGGGAACUGCGUCGGAUACUGGAUGGCUUGAAUCCGGGAGAGGGAUGCGGAAUUCCAGGUGUAGCGGUGAAAUGCGUAGAUAUCUGGAGGAACACCGGUGGCGAAGGCGGCCUUCUGGACAGUGACUGACGCUGAGACGCGAAAGCGUGGGGAGCAAACAGG
rnacentral:rRNA from 1 species